AACGAACGCUGGCGGCAUGCCUAACACAUGCAAGUCGAACGGAACCUUCGUGCUUGUGGGGGCUGGGGGAGUUACGGCUGGGUAACCUGCCCUUGGGUUCGGUGUACUUCCCCUUAGGGGGUCUUAAGACCGGUUAAGUUCUUCGCACAAAGGAUUUCCGGCUUUUGGAUGGGCCCGGGUUGGAUUAGCGAGUUGGUAGGGGAAACGCCUCCCAAGGCGACGUUCCUGAGCUGGUCUGAGAGGAUGAUCAGCCACACUGGGACUGAGACACGGCCCAGACUCCUACGGGAGGCAGCAGAGGGGAAUAUUGGACAAUGGGCGAGAGCCUGAUCCAGCACUGCCGCGUGAGUGAUGAAGGCGUUAGGGUUGUAAAGCUCUUUUACCCGGGAUGAUAAUGACAGUACCGGGAGAAUAAGCUCCGGCUAACUCCGUG
rnacentral:rRNA from 1 species